GGGGCCGUAGCUCAGUUGGGAGAGCGCGUCGUUCGCAAUGACGAGGUCAGGGGUUCGAUUCCCCUCGGCUCCA
rfam:Oceanicaulis alexandrii HTCC2633 scf_1099451005985 genomic scaffold, whole genome shotgun sequence.